rnacentral:rRNA from 1 species
GUAGGUGGCAAGCGUUGUCCGGAAUUAUUGGGCGUAAAGCGCGCGCAGGCGGUUCUUUAAGUCUGAUGUGAAAGCCCACGGCUCAACCGUGGAGGGUCAUUGGAAACUGGAGAACUUGAGUACAGAAGAGGAAAGCGGAAUUCCACGUGUAGCGGUGAAAUGCGUAGAGAUGUGGAGGAACACCAGUGGCGAAGGCGGCUUUCUGGUCUGUAACUGACGCUGAGGCGCGAGAGCGUGGGGAGCAAACAGGAUUAGAUACCCUGGUAGUCCACGCCGUAAAUGAUGAGUGCUAAGUGUUAGGGGGUUUCCGCCCCUUAGUGCUGCAGCUAACGCAUUAAGCACUCCGCCUGGGAGUACGGCCGCAAGGCUG